CCCACGUCCCAGCCUCUCUCGCUUAUGGAACACACGUAAGCACACGCACGCCGGCGGCCCGCGCGUCGGCGACGAUCUAGCCGAAGUGGUGGUGCUUCUUCUCGCCGCUGGCCUCCUUGGCCUCCUUGUGGUCCUGCUUCUUCUCGUGGUGCUCGUGGAAGACGAAGCCGCCGGCACCGACGGCCGCGGCGGCGGCCAGCUCCUCCUCGAUCUUGUGCUUGUGCGCGUGUUCCGGGUCCUUCUUCGCCUCGUGCUUCUCGUACUGCACGUGGACAAGCAGUUCAUUAGCCAAGCCCGGAAAGACAUGAACUACGUAUAUAUCUAUAUACGCGUAUGGGUAAAUAGUUACGAUGAGAGAGAGAGAGCGUACGAGGGCGAAGGCUCCGGCGGCGACGGCGCCCAUCUCGCCGAGGUGCUCCUUGUGCUUGUGGUGCUUCUCCUCCUUGGUGAUCCGCUCGUACUCGCCCUCGUUGCCGGUGCCGGUCACCACCGUCUCGGUCGAGUACCCGUACACGUCGGCGCCGCCAUCAGCGGCGGGCUGGAAGUCCUCGCCCUCCUUCUUGUGGUGGAACAGGUGGUGGUGGUGCUUCUCCUCCGCCAUGGCCGCCGGCUGAUCGAUUAACUAGCUUGUAUGUGUGCGUGUAUGUGACAGUGGGACAGCUUCUUAUCUGCUUGGUCUGUGUAGGCUUCCUACUGGCCGGGUUUUAUAGGCUGAGGCGACUGUUGGAAUGGACGGUGGAACUAACCGUUCCGUUCCACGGGUUAUGGAUACUGGAUCCAUCAAAUAUACAGUACGUAUGCAUACGAUUGUGAUCUGCUUUAUGUACGUGUCCCGGAGUCAUUGGAGGCUUGGAGCCCAAGCACUCAGGCAACCACAGGACAGGGGGCCACGUUCUGAUGGCCAACGGUGCAGCGCCCCACCACCUUCUUGGCACUUGGCAGAGUUGCAGCUUGGGGUAGCUUACAUGUGAGUAACAAAAGUUUAGAGAAGUGUCGGCAUGCACGGAUUGGCUGACGGUGAUGUGGCACCGCGCACGCCUUUCCCUGCUCCCCGCGUCCACUAUCCAGCAACCUUUACUCGUAUGUAAUUACGUGUGCGCAUUAUUACUUUUUCUUUUUUGAGAAGUACUCCGUAGUACUAUUUGUGAAAAGUAAAAACGAGAGAGAGGAUAAAAAUGAUGGAACCGUUGCUUUCAUUGAUGGAUUGGGAGUAUAUAUACCCCUGAUACAAGGCAGUUACAAAGAGGCAGUUGCUACUAGUAGCAACCGACAUAGCGGGGAUUAACCCUUUAAUUAAUCUAAUUAAUUUAUUUCUAACACUCCCCCUAAUCACUGCUUGUCUUGGAUAUUUAUUAUCUUGAUAAAGACUCCUCUUUGUAUGUGUCUUUAAGAAUGUCCAUCAUCUUCGUGAAAGCCUUUGUAUAAUCUUGAAAGUCUUCCCAAAAAACCCUGUGGGAAAAAAUAUGAGGAGAAUAGUGUAGGUAUGUUGCUAAAACUCCUUUAAACCCGGUGGGAAAAUAAUAAGGAGAAAAUAAUGCAACAUAUAAUGAUUAUUGUCUCUUGAUAACUCAAUCGAGAAAACCUUUGAAGAAGGAGAAAAAUCAAUUGUGAGUUUAGAGAACAAUUAAUAUGUCUUUAAUACUUUCUUUAAAAAAACCCAAUAGGGAAAAUAGAAAGUAUGGCAUAUGAUUUUGAUAAUAUAUUGCCUCAUUAAAAACCUUUUUAUGAGAAAACUGAUGCAAAACUCAUAAAGGAAAAGAGUACAAUUAUUAUCUGAUGAUAAUUAAUGGGUUAUGAGUCUAGGAAUUUCUCCCCCUGAAAUUUGCAAAUCUCGAAAACGUCUCAUACCAAUUCCAUGAAUAUAUUUCUGGAAUGUUGAAUUUGGUAAAGACUUUGUGAACAAAUCUGCUAGAUUGUCGCAUGAUUUGGUUUGCAAAAUAUCAAUUUCUCCAUCCUUUUGUAAUGCAUGAGGAUAGAAUAACUUAGGAGAAAUGUGUUUUGUGAUAUUACUUUUCACAUAACCCAUUUGCAUUUGAGCAAUGCAGGCUGCAUUAUCUUCAUAUAUAAUAGUUGGUGAUCCUAAUGAACCAACACCACAUGAAGUUUGAAUAUGGUUAAUCAUCCUGCGAAGCCAUACACAUUCUUUAGAUGCUUCAAAUAAUGCAAUAAUUUCAGAAUGAUUAGUGGAUGUUGCUACGAGAGUCUGUUUUGUUGACUUCCAUGAAAAAACAGUUCCACCAUAUAAGAAUACGAAACCUGUUUGUGACCUGGCAUUGUGAGGAUCAGAUAGAUAGCCAGCAUCAGUAUAUCCUACCAUAGUCAUAUCUUGGUUUUUCUGAUAGAAUAAGCCAAGAUCUUUUGUGCCAUGUAAAUAUCUAAGGAUAUUCUUUACUCCCGUCCAAUGACGUUUUGUUGGAGCAGCGCUAUGUCUAGCUAGUAAAUUUACCGCAAAUGCAAUAUCAGGCCUGGUGCAAUUUGCAAGGUACAUUAGCGCACCAAUGGCACUGAGAUACGGGAACUCAGGUCCUAAUAUCUCUUCGUCAUCAUCCCGAGGUCUAAAAGGAUCUUUAUUCAUAUCAAGGGAUCUGACAACCAUGGGUGUUUUGGUUGGAUAUGAUUUAUCCAUAUUAAAUUUUUCCAAAACCUUUUGAAUAUAUGCAGGUUGGUAUACUAAAAUUCCUGAGGGAAGAUGCUCAAGCUGUAAGCCUAAGCAGAAUUUGGUCUUUCCCAAAUCUUUCAUCUCAAAUUCCGCCAUUAGAUGAUUGCGUGCUUCUUCGAUAUCAGGUCUACAUCCAAUGAUAUUGAGGUCAUCAACGUACACUGAGAUGAUGCAAAAUCCAUUUGGGGAUUUCUUUAUAAAUACACAAGGGCAAUCAUCAUUAUUUGAGUAGCCUUUUUGAAUAAGGAACUCACUCAGCCGGUUAUACCACAUUCUACCCGACUGUUUUAAGCCAUAUAGUGACUUUUGUAAUUUUACACAAUAUGCGUUGCGAUUUGCUUUUGGAUUCGGCAUUUUAAGUCCUUCAGGGACUUUCAUAUAUAUAUCCGAUUUGAGUGACCCAUAUAAGUAUGUUGUCACUACAUCCAUCAACUGCAUAGAUAAAUUCAUUUGUACUGCCAAAGAUAUUAAGUAUCGAAACGUUAUUCCACUCAUUACAGGAGAGUAUGUAUCAUCGUAAUCGAUGCCGGGUCUCUGCGUGAACCCUUGUUCUACAAGCCUCGCUUUGUAUCUCACCACCUCAUUGUUUUCAUUCCUUUUUCGAACAAAAACCCAUUUUGCUCCAACAGGGAAGACAUUGUGAGGAGUAGGUAUUACUGAGGAAAAUACCUCUCUUUUGUUGAGCGAGCGCAGUUCUGCCUCAAUUGCUUCCUUCCAUUUAGGCCAAUCAGGACGCUUGAGGCACUCCCUGACGGUCUUUGGUUCUGGAUCCAGUUGAAGGGUUUCAGCAAUUUCAGAGGCGAAAUAUAUGUCGACAAUUGUAGUCUCUCUAUUAUAUGAUUCUCCUAAUUCUGUAUAGUUUAUGGAAAUUUCUUUUAUACCUUCAGACUCUAUGUGAUUUCCCACAACAAUAGAAUCAUGGUGUUCCGAUGUCCCAGCAAUUAUGUUUUUAUGCGCAUUUAUGCUUGGUUCAAGAUGUUGAGCAUCUGGUUGGUGUCCUUCAACUUGAGGUUGAAUUGCAUUUACUGGUAGAGGAUUUGAUUUCCUCUGUUUCCGCGGAGGCUUUUGAGAAGCUAUAUUCCGACUAACCAGAUUUCUCCCCCUCUUACUCUCAUUUGGGGUUUGAGUGGUUUUAGUUGGUACCUCCACUCGUUCUGGUGCAUUAACAGCGGGAAUAUGUGAUUUAGUGACACCUUUAUGGUGAGUAAAUGCAUCUGGCAGAUUAUUUGCAAUGUGUUGCAAAUCUAUGAUCCUGUGAACUUCAGUUUCAGAUUCUUUAGUACGUGGAUCUAAGGACUGAAUGCCUGUUACAUUCCAAUCUAUUUCCUGGCAUUCUUUGUGGUUUGAUUCUCCCCCUAAUGCCGGGGAAUGGUCCUCAUCAAAAAUAGAAUCAGCGUAACGGGCAGUAAACAGGUCCCCUGUAAGAGGUUCAAGAUAUUUAAUAAUUGACGGAGAAUUAUAACCCACAUAGAUCCCUAGUUUUCUGUGGGGGCCCAUGGAUGUACGCUGCGGUGGUGAUAUCGGUACGUAUACUGCGCAACCGAAUUUUCGCAGAUGGGAAAUACUUGGCUGAGUGCCACGUACUAGUUGUAGCGGGGAGGUUGUAUGAUAUGCAGUUGGUCUGAUUUGUAUCAGAUCUGCGGCGUGUAAUACCGCAUGUGCCCAACAAGAUGCUGGUAAAUUACAAUUCUGUAAUAGUGGUCGAGCAACUAAUUUUACUCUUUUGAUGAGAGAUUCAGCCAAACCAUUUUGAGAUUCUGCGGCGGUUCUGGCGGUGGUUCCCGGCGAAGAAGCGGCGAUGAGGGCCACUCCGGUUCUGGCGGUGGUUCCUGGUGAAGGAACGGCGGCGAGGGCCAUUCCUUGCACCAAGGCCCUCACGGCGACGUGCAAUGCGGUGGCGCUGCGUGCGAGUGAAGCGGCUGUCUUCUUUCUGCAGGAAACGUGCGAAAGCAAAAGCAAGCGAGGACAAAUCUCUCCCUGCCAUUCUCACCUUUCUCUUGGCUCUCUGUCGCUCUCGGCAGAGCAAGUGCUGAUAACGUGUGAAAAGUAAAAACGAGAGAGAGGAUAAAAAUGAUGGAACCGUUGCUUUCAUUGAUGGAUUGGGAGUAUAUAUACCCCUGGUACAAGGCAGUUACAAAGAGGCAGUUGCUACUAGUAGCAACCGACAUAGCGGGGAUUAACCCUUUAAUUAAUCUAAUUAAUUUAUUUCUAACACUAUUAUUGGAAAACAUGCAUACACAUGCAGAUGUUUGGAUUUUUUCACUGUUUUGACCUUACAUGUAAACAUGAGCACAAAAUGAACUCAGUCUGAAAAUAUUUUUGGAUCUGACCUUUCUUUAAAACGCCAGAGUCCGUCGCGUUGCUGCUCCACGUAGAAACGCCAGACUAACGUGGCGUUUUUGAUCUACAUUCAAACGUCAGUCUACUGGACGUUGCAGCAUAUAUAGAAACGCCAAGUUCAGUCUGUUGUAAGUUGAAUCGAGAGAAACAAAUGAAUCAAUUGUCACUUUAUUCCUUGAUGAUUGAACACUUUAUAUGCCAGGGAAAGACGGUUCCCGGAGGCGACGCUCCAGGAACAAUACGCCGGUUCCGCAUCGUGGGGGGAAUUCACGUGCGGUUACAAGUAGAGAUUAAUUUAACUAAUUACAUAAUUAAUUAAAUUCUAACACUCCCCCUAAUCUAUACUUGUCCAUGAGCGUGUCCAUCAUCUUGAAAUAGUCUCCUCCAAAAACCCUGUGGGAAAAAUAUAAGGAGUGGUGUAGUAUAUGCGGCUAAAACUCCUUCAAACCCUGUGGGGAAAUAAGGAGAAAAUGAUAUAGCAUAUAAUGCGUAUUGCCUCUGUUAACUCUAUAUGAAAUGUAUCCAUAGAAUAAGAGGACAAUAAAUAUGUCGUAUAUACUUUCCUAAAAACCCCGGUGGGGAAAACAGAUAGUAUGACAUAUGAUCUUAUGUUGAUAUUACCUCAUUAAAAACCUCGAUGAGAACCUAUAAAGUAAACUCAUAAAGGGAAAAGAGUGUAAUAUGAUGCUUUGAACAGGAAGAGUUCAGGAAGAGACUCCCCCUGACUCUUGCAAAUCUCGGAGCCGUCGCAUACCAAUUCCAUGAAUGUAUUUCUGGAAUGUUGAAGCUGGUAGAGACUUCGUGAAAAGAUCAGCUAGAUUAUCGCAUGACUUGACUUGCAAGAUGUUGAUUUCACCACUUUUCUGGAGUUCAUGGGGAUAAAACAACUUAGGGGCAAUAUGCUUAGUGAUAUUGCUCUUUAUGUAUCCUGUUUGCAUCUGUGCAACACAAGCCGCAUUAUCUUCAUAGAUAAUGGUAGGUGAUUUGAUAGAACCAAUUCCACGUGACUGUUGUAUGUGGUUUAUCAUUCUGCGAAGCCACGUGCAUUCACGUGAUGCCUCAUAUAAAGCAAUUAUUUCAGAAUGAUUGGUAGAUGUUGCAACUAGGGUCUGUUUUGAAGACUUCCAUGAUAUAGCAGUUCCACCAUGUAGGAACACAAAGCCGGUCUGCGAUCUGGCAUUAUGGGGAUCAGAUAAAUAGCCAGCAUCUGUAUAUCCAAUUAUACCAGAGUCUAGUUUUUUCUGGAACUGAAUAGGCCAAGAUCCUUUGUGCCUUGGAGAUAUCGAAAGACAUUCUUGACUCCCGACCAAUGGCGUUUGGUGGGAGCUGCGCUGUGUCUAGCAAGUAGAUUUACUGCAAAUGCGAGGUCAGGUCUCGUGCAAUUUGCUAGAUACAUAAGCGCUCCAAUUGCACUGAGAUAUGGAACCUCGGGUCCAAAAAUCUCUUCACCAUCAUCCCUUGGCCUGAACGGAUCUUUCUCUACGUCUAGAGAUCGAACCACCAUGGGAGGUUUAGAUGGGUAGGAUUUGUCCAUAUUGAAUUUCUCCAAUAUUUUCUGGAUAUAGGCAGCUUGGUGUACCAUUAUUCCUGAGGUAAGGUGCUCGAGUUGGAGACCCAAGCAAAAUUUGGUUUGGCCCAAAUCCUUCAUCUCAAAUUCCAUCUUUAGGUGAUUGCGUGCUUCAUCAAUAUCUGGUGUACAGCCGAUGAUGUUGAGAUCAUCAACAUACACAGAAAUGAUGCAAAAUCUUGUAGACGACUUCUUGAUGAAGACACAUGGGCAAUCAUCACUAUUGGAGUAACCUUUCUGAAGAAGGAACUCACUUAGUCGGUUGUACCACAUCCGCCCCGACUGUUUUAAGCCAUACAAUGACUUAUUCAGCUUUACACAAUACAUGUUGCGUUUUGCAUUGUUACUCGGGACAGAGAUUCCGUCAGGAACCUUCAUAUAUAUGUCCGAAUCUAGUGACCCGAAAAGAUAUGCGGUCACGACGUCCAUCAACUGCAUGGAUAGACGAUUUUGUACUGCCAUAGAUAUAAGAUAUCGGAAAGUUGUUCCACUCAUUACUGGAGAGUAUGUCUCAUUGAAAUCAAUGCCGGGUUUCUGCGUAAAACCUUGUGCUACGAGCCUUGCUUUAUAUCUCACCACCUCAUUGUCCUCAUUCCGUUUCCGGAGGAAAACCCAUUUGAAUCCCACAGGGAAAACAUUGGGAGGUGUAGGUAUUGCUUCAGUGAAUACCUUCCUUUUGUUAAGCGAGGCAAUUUCUGCUUGGAUUGCAUCCUUCCAUUUAGGCCAGUCGGAGCGCCUUUGGCAUUCGACGAUAGACCUUGGAUCAUGAUCAGUGAUAAGGAUAUCUACAAUCUUUUCAGCAAAAUAUAUGUCGACAGUCGUAGUCUUGCGGUCAAAUGAUUCUCCAGAAUCAACAUAGUUGAUGGAAAUUUCUUGCACCCCUAGAGACUGUUCGUUAUUUCCCAAUACGAUUGAGUCUAGGUGUUCCGAUGUUCCAGCUAGUUUGUGCAUACUGGAGCUGGGUUGUGAAGGUCUCCCUUCCACUGGGUGUAAACUACCCAUAAGGUGUUCAUCAACGUUGAGUUGACUUGCAUUUACUGAUUUUGAGGAUCUUCUCCUCUCUCUCCUUUGCUGCUUGCGAGAAGCAGGUUCCGGGUCAGAGGUCGUACUACUCCCCCUCUUUUUAGGAACAGGGAGUUGAGUGGUUUUAGUUGGUACCUCCACUCUUUCGGGCGCAUUUCUGGCUGGAAUCAAGGAUUUUGUAACACCUUUUAGAUCAGUAAAUGAAUCUGGCAGAUUAUUUGCAAGAUGUUGCAAAUUGAUAAUUUUCCGAACUUGUAGUUCGGUCUCUUGAGUACGUGGAUCAGAGGCUGAAAUGGCAAUGGCAUUCCAAUCAAUUUCCGAGCAUUCUUUCUGGUACUUGAAAUCUCCCCCUAAUGCCGGAAAAUGUUCCUCAUCAAAAAUGCAAUCAGCGUGACGGGCUGUGAAUAGAUCCCCAGUAAGGGGUUCCAGGUACUUGAUAAUCGACGGCGAUCUGUACCCCACAUAGAUCCCAAGUUUCCUGUCUGGGCCCAUGGAUGUCCGCUGUGGUGGUGAGAUUGGGAUGUACGUAGCACAUCCGAACUUACGCAGAUGGGAAAUGCUGGGAGGAUUUCCACGUACCAAUUGCAGAGGGGAAGUACUGUGAUAUGCAGUAGGUCGCAAUUGGAUUAAGUCAGUAGCGUGUAAAAUUGCAUGACCCCAACACGAAGUUGGUAAGCUGCAAUUCAUUAACAAAGGUCUUGCAAUGAGUUUGAUCCUUUUAAUUAGAGAUUCGGCCAAACCAUUUUGAGUAUGAACGUAUGGGACAGAGUGCUGAACUUCAAUCCCCAAGGCCAUGCAAUAGUCAUUGAAAGCACGUGAACAAAAUUCUGCAGCAUUGUCCAUGCGAAUUGAUUUAAUUCAACUUUCUGGAUAAUGGGCCUGUAACUUAAUUACUUCCCGCAUUAUCUUGGCAAAUGCAUGGUUUCGUGUGGAUAGAAGGCACACGUGUGACCAUCGUGUAGAUGCAUCAAUCAGAACCAUGAAAUACCGAAAUGGUCCAGAUAAUGGUUGGAUAGGACCACAAAUGUCACCUUGAAUGCGUUCAAGGAAGUGAAGUGGUUCAGCUUGUAUUUUAAGGUGUGAUGGCCUUAAAAUUAGUUUCCCUGUGGCGCAGGAUGUGCACACAAAGUCUGAUGACUGAGGAAACUUUGACUCGAGCAAAUUAUGACCAAUAGAAUUGCUAGUAAUUUUCCUCAUCAUCCCAACACUGGGGUGGCCAAGGCGAUCAUGCCAAGUUUGGAAUGCAUUAACAUUCUGAAAAAUUACCUUGUAAGCAACAUGUUCUACGGGCUUGAUGUACGUAUAGUACAGUCCGGACGAUAGUGAAGGAAUUUUUUCAAGUACUUGCUUGCCAUAUCCGUAAUCUUUUGUGAAGAGUAGAAACUCUUCUGUGUUGUCCUCAUGGGUUUCAAUGUGAAAACCAUUUUUACGGAUAUCUCAAAAACUGAUUAGGGUACGGGAUGAAUCAGGAUACAGCAAGGCAUCCUCAAUUGUCACUUGUGUACCACCUCGGAGGGUAAAUAUGGCACGUCCAGUGCCAACAAUUACCGUAUCGCGUCCAACGAUUGUCAAAAUAUCUCCAUUCAUCUUUUUCAGAGUCUGAAAAUAUUUCAACUCCCUUGGUAUGGAGUUUGUGGUAGCACUGUCCACAAGGCAUAAUUCCUCUUCCAUCGGAUUGUCCCCAUAGAAAGCUAUAUAUAAAAAUGAGGAAUUUUCAAUAAGAAAGCCUUAUUUCAAUACAUAGAAUACAAUCUUAUUAUAUCAAAGUGCUGAUACAAUAUAUAAAUGACAACAAUACUUAUGUUCUAUUACAAUCAUCACACAUGGAUAUGAUUUAUUUAAUAAAUCGACCACUAAGGAGAUAAUGGGACUAAUCGAAGUCUCCAAACAUGUCGGUUGAGGUGUACUCAACCAUCAUGUUCUCCGUGUCUGUAGGAUCCUCUAAUGUAUGGAGUGUCAUGGUGUUGCUAGAUCCGGGAGGAACAUCUUGCGAACAACCAGCUCCAUUGGUGCCAUCUGGAUGAAGGUUGAAGUUGGCUUGAAACCUUUUCCCUUGAGGUACUUUGCGUCCCUGAGAUUGCUGAUACAGAAUUGCCAGAUGCUUCGGGGUCUUGCACUUAUUGGUAGGAUGCGUGUAGCAUCCACACUUGUCACAAAGCUUAGUUUGGUCAAACUUGGGCUUUGCGGUGCCUUUCCCAUGGUCCGAGUUUCUAGGCUUUCUGUUCCGGUUGCGCUUGCAUUUACCCUUGAAGUUCGAUGGCUUGCCAUGGGACGCACCAUCAAACUUUCGUCUGUUCACGACGUUCAUAUGAACUUCAGGCAGAGGUUGGGAACCAACCGGACGCUGAGAACCAUUCUUAGCGAGUAGCUCAUCAUGCUUUUCAGCCUGAAGUAGGAUAUGAAUGAGGUCGGAAUAGACUUGGUAGUCAUGAGCGCGGUACUGUUGCUGGAGGACCCUUUCAUAUGGGAGCAUAGUAGACAUAGUUUUUUCUAUCUUUUCCGCAUCAGUAGGUUCCUUCCCGCAAAAGCGUAAUUUGGAACAUAUCUUAUGAACCUCGUGAUUGUACGCCCCGAUGGACUUGAAAUCCUGGAGUCGGAUAUGCGUCCAAUCAUGGAGUGCUUCCGGCAGGACAACUGCCUUUUGCUGUUCAUACCUCGUCUUGAGGGCCUGAAACAGAGUAAGUGGGGAUUCCUCCUCCAAAUAUUCAGAUUUGAGAUCUGGGUGGAUAUGGUGCCUUAUGAUGUAUAAGGCGGCAUAUUUCUGUUCAUCUCUCAGCGGCGUGACUCCAUCCGGAAGAGGAUCUUCCGGAGUCUGGAUUGCACACACUAAUCCACGAGAUGCAAGAGCGAUCUUGAUGUCCAUGGCCCAGGUAGGAUAGUUGUGGCCAUUGAGGUCGGGUGCAUCGAACUCUCUUCCAGCCAUUGGUUACCUACAUGGGUAAACCAGAGAUUAUUAAUUUACACCAGGUAAAUUAAAACCUUCAUGGUUACGUUGUAUUGAACGUUGCAAAAUUAAUGAUAACUUCAAGAAAUGGGCUUGAAAUCAUUAGUGUGACUUUCAAAUUGUGAAGUUUGACACAUUGUAGAUACGCCCCAAACGAAAAUUCGGGGUCCAUCUCUCAGAACUAGGGAGUAUAAUCUGAUAAAAUCAGUAGAUACUCAUGUUUCUAGUACCUUAUGUCAUAACUUAAUAAAAUGUAUCGGAGGGCACAAUAUUAAGCAAUCAUCAUAUCAAUAUGAUAGAAUGUAGGCUUAAUCGUAGUGGCGAUAAUCUGCUAUGCAUUAGAUCAACACACUUCUUUGUGGUCCCAAAACAUCAAUUUGAAAGAAAAUCACUUUGGAAUUUUGCAUAUCAACUCGUGCUCGUAUUAAGCCAAAGGCUCAAUUAAGACGAGGGGUUGAUUUUUAUUUGCAAGAAAUUUGAAAUCUCAAUUACAAAUAAUAGAGGUAAUAAAUCUCAACAUGUAGCAAACAUGGAAAUAUAUAUUACAUCACAUAUGUUCUAGAAUACAAAGUACUCUACAGAAAACAAAACAGUACUAGAAAUAGACGUACUGAAAACAGGAAUUAAACAGGAUCUAAGACAGGGAUUAGUCUACUGCUAGAUCUACUGUUGAUAGUACAGGAAGUAAUCUAAAACAGAGAGCAAAUAGUGCUGGAAAAUACUACUAAAGUGUGCUGGAGUGCUGCAAGACCACAUGUGCCAUCGAACCAAGGCCACAUGUGUCCCAAGGAUGUGCACAUGUCGUCUGCAGCGUCCACUUUAUUCAAAUCACGGGAGGAUAAGGCAGAGCCAGCUCUAAAAAAACAAGAGCGGCACCGCAUCAGGCAGAGCCCCGCGCCAGGGAGAACUCCGCGUGUGCUGCUUCACAGCGUUCACCAGGGACGGGCGAGAGAGCCUCCGCCGCGCUCGUCCUCGUCUUCGUCGGAAGGCCCGCCCGGGGGCAAGGAGCGAGGCGAGGUGCCGUCCACGAGCCCAAGGGCGGCCGGGCUCCAGGANGCUCUCCAAACCUGCGGUGGAGAGCAGCGAGGCGGCGACGACGGACGUAGUUCUGCUGCAGGCGGCGAAGGUUCGUCGGCGUUGAGCGAGGCAUCCUUCUCACCUUUUGCUUCUUGCCUGUCGAUCUCAUCGAUCUCGUCGAAAGCACUCUGGAAGAGCAGUGCUGAUAACGUGUUGUAAGUUGAAUCGAGAGAGAGAUAGCGAGAGAAACAAAUGAAUCAAAUGUCACUUUAUUCCUUGAUGAUUGAACACUUUAUAUGCGAGGGAAAGACGGUUCCUGGAGGCGACGCUCCAGGAACAAUACGUCGGUUCCGCAUCGUGGGGGGAAUUCACGUGCGGUUACAUGUAGAAAUUAAUUUAACUAAUUACAUAAUUAAUUAAAUUCUAACACAGUCUACUUAGCGUUUCAGGCUAUGUAGCAACGCCAAGGCGCAUGGCGUUUCAAUGCAUGCGCUACUGUUCGCAGCAUGCAGGCAGGCAUGCACGCAUGCGCCGCUGUUCGCAGCUACUGUUUGCUACUGGUCACUGCCCCUCUCUGCUCGUUUUUGAGUCUUGCAUGCCAGCUACACUGUGUAUGGAGUCUUGCAUGCGAGCUACACUGUGUAUGGGAGAAAAAAUAAUGCCCAGUAAAGAGGAUCGGAGGGAGUACACUGCAUCCAUGCAUGCAGGCAAUGCAGAGGCAGGCACGCACACACACAUAACUAUGGGAUGUGGCUAUGGUGUGGCGUAGAGUAGCAUGGAUGAUGAGCAGGAGUAAAAUAAACUAUUGUUGCUCCUACUGGCACGGUGACACCGGCACAGUAGCUCAUGCAUGGUUAUUUGCCUCAGAAACGCCAACUCGCAUGGCGUUUCACUGAAGGCCAAAAACGCCACACUAUACAGGCAUUUCUUAAUAGGUCUGCAACGCCACGUUAGAGUGGCGUUUCUUAAUAGGGCUGCAACGUCACGGACUAUGGCGUUUUAAGAAAAUGAUCAAAACGUGAAAUUGUUUUCAAACGAGUUCGUUACGUGAUUAUCGUAGCCCCCUCGGAUCAAAACAGUGAAAAAACCCCAGAUGUUUCAAGCUACUGGCUUCCUUUAAUCCUUUCCAACAUGAUUUUUUAGGAACUUAAAAGCAAACAAUUUAAUUGCAAAUCAAUAUAUAUAUGGAUGGUCUGAGCAUCUACAACCACGGAUCCACCCCUCAAAAGUCCGCGGACGCGUCCGCGGACAUAGACCGGGCGCGUCUUAUUUUUUGCCUUUCACAUCUGCGUCUCUCAUAUUCGAAACCUCAUAUCCAUACAAAUGCAUGCAACGUCACGUAAAACAAGAGAUAACCAUUCUCCAUUGGAUUGGAUUGAUUCGUCGAACAAAAGCAUCAUAGUUCAUCGAACUUCAUCGGCAAAUUAAUACUAGAAACUACUUAAGCAUAAUUAAAAUGUACACAACACGGGGCGCUCACGGUCGAACGUCGCGCGGCCAGCGCCUCCCCCUUUCCCUCUCCCAUUGCCGCUCUAGACGCGCUGCACGCGUCUUGGACUCCGACGUCCUCUCGCGCCCCGUCCCCGACACGGGCACGAGGACCUAGCGUGGCCGGGUACCGCUUUCGAAGCAGAAGGUGGUGGAGGUGGGCAACGUACCUAACCUGGAGCGGACCGGCCGGAGCGGGAGCGACCAAAGCUGUAUGCCUUGCGGGAAGGGCCUGCUACGUCGGCGUGCGAUGAGCCCGAAGGAUGUAGGACCACAGUCGGGGCCGCCUUGGUCCUGCAGCAACCGGCGUAACGCGAUACGGAGGGCCACCUCCUCUACAUCGACGUUUGAUCCAUCAGAGUUGCUUCUGUCGCCGAUCAUCGGGUCGGAGGGUGGGGGAUUUGAAGUGGAGUGGACAGAGAGUGAACUGCUGGAUGUCUAGAGUUUUUGGAUUGGGGUAUUUAGUGGGUCCGUGGUGGGCGGGCUAACAUGGCCACGGGGUCGACGGUGGGCCAGACCUGACAGACGGGGCAUGCCCAGGCGCGCCCGGGCUUUCCCAUAUCCGUCCUAUAUUUGAAAUGGACAUGAGGAGUACCGCUCAGUCUAGACGUUUGAGACGAGUUUGAGAGACUCGUCUGGAUCGAAUUUUUGUGACCGGACAAUGACCGGACGGCCAGCCCGAUAUUUUAAGGAGCAUUUAAAGGGUCUGGCUAUAGAUACUCUAAUACUCUCUUGGACCCUUUUAUACGUUUUAAAAACCAUAAAGUUGAUCGUUCAAUUUCUGGGAGCAGUCGUUCAUAUGAAAACACCCUCGUUAUCGGACUAAGGCGGCCACCAUAUUCUUUACCAAAGUGUUCAUGUGUUUUCCUAUUUUUUGUAUCACGUUUCCUGACUUAUCCGUCCUGGUGCGGCCGUCGUGGGUGAUGCAUGAGAGCCAAUGGUUUUAGUACCACAUAUGGUGUUCUUGUGGAUAGGUAUCUUAUGUUUAACUUGUCUUGAGAGAUGUGACGGUGUUAAUGAUGUCUACAUGCUCUUUUUUGUCCGUUCUUCCUUUUUUCUACUAUGAUAUUUAUCUUUUUCCUUAAUAAUAUGAAGGUAAAUUUAUUGAUGCCAGUUUGCCAUGUGUGGGAUGUCUACCUCACAACAAAAUAUUCAACGGCAUUAGUUUCCCCAACUCUUAGGGCAGAUGGCUCAUAUGGCUUGAAGACCUAUGAGGUUAGUCGAGGUUAUGUAGGUUUUUUUUUGGUUUUAAUUAUUAGGAUAUACCUUGUGAGGGCUUCGGUUGCCUUUGUUAUUCACUUCAAUCAAAUGUGCCAUUUUUAUGAAACAAGCUCCUUAUGUUCUUCUUAAUAACAAAUGAAUCGAGGUGGUCUUUGAAGGCAUCUUCGGGUGGAAUGGACGAUGCGGCUUGGUGUCUUGGUCCUAUGGCUCCUUCACGAGCGGCGAUGUUUGGCAUGCUUCUAGUAGCUUGUGGUGUAAUCUCACUUCAUAUCUGUCUGGUGUAAUUUGUAGUAGUCGCUCUACCUUCUUCGUCCUCUUCUUCUCUAGGAUGGCGAAUUAUUUCGCAGAUCUUGCUGGCGUUGGCGUUUGCUUCCUCCGACCAUCGACUUCCUAGUUGUUGCUUAACAAUGUCCUCCUGACAUUGAUGGGUUUUGAAGGUAAAGAGAAAGCAUCGAGCUUUUCUCACGGUGCGCCGCUCGCGAGUUCACCAGAAAGAUGACGACGAUUUGUCCAAAGACAAGUGUGUAACUAUUAAUUUCUAUAAGAAUGACCUUUAAGGGUUUGUGGACUUCAAUAUAUGGUCUUUGGCCUUCUUAUGGAAUUGUUUGUUUGAAUAUGCCGAAAAGAAAUCAUAAACUUGUGGGUCACACACAUAUUUCCCCAAGGAAUUAAGCUCCACGAAAUUCCAUUUUGCAGUUCGGAGCAAAGCCACAAUGCAAGAGAGAGAUCUAAUACCAUGUACCAAACAAUCUAAGAAUGAAAAUAUGAUGGUCGCACUUGAAAGCAAGUUAUAAUUAUCAUAACAUGAAAACUAUUAGUGCAAAAGCCCCUCAAAGGUUAUAAAAGUCCAUAAACCGCCUAAUCGACACCACCAUGUAAAACUUUCUUGUGCUUUCACUCCCACCCUCCUUUAUUAGCAACAAAGAGUGUUAAACAAUUGAGAGCAUCUCAAACAGCAGCUGCAAAAACCGCACACGCGGGGAAAAUAGUCUUUUAGCACGUGUGGGGCGGUUGCGUGCGCUCCAGCAGCCGCGGAAUAAUCGGCCGCGCGGGAAAAGGUAGCCCGCCGCGCGAUAGAUUUGGCGUGCAGCGCUCGGCGCGCCCUAUAAAUGCAGUACUCGACCACGCGUCCUUCCACCGCUCUCACUCGCCUCUCUCCCGCCACGCGUCCUCUGUCGAUGUCUCUCUCGCCUCGUCGCCCUCGCGCCGUCGCGGAACUUCGGGAUACCGUGACGUCCGUUCUGCGCUUCGCCAAGAUCCGCUCCGGCGACAUGCGCCUUGGCCUCGACACGUUCGACGCCGCCGACGAUGACGUCCGUGCGUAUGACGCGGCAGCGUUGCGCCUCAACAUGCCUCUUAGGGAGAUGAAUUUCCCCGAGGUGAUGACGCUGGAGUGGGCGCAGAACCCCACGCCUCGUCCAUAGGUUGUCACCGAAGAGGACCAUCGUCGGAACCGGAGGCGGGAGCGCCGCCUCAGCAUUGUUGAGAUGGACGAGCAUGCCAUGACAGAGUGGCGCCGACAGUUCCUGCAGGACGACCUCGAUGAGCGCUAAUUCUUCACGCAAAGGAGGAUGGAGCAAGCCGCCUAUCGUGAAGAUAGGCGUACGCGGAAGCAAGCUGCACUGUUCUAGAUGGAGCUGAAGGAAUCGUCGAUUUGGCCCUCCGACGAUGAACGCUGGGCUGACACCUUCAUCAUGACGGAGGAAUAGGAUACCGGCCCGUCGGAAUCCGAUAACGACGACGAAUAGUCUUCUAUCUAUCUAGACUAUCUAUGGUUUGUAUGUACCUUUUUUUAUCGUUUUCUAUCUAUCUAGGCUAUCUAUGUUAUGUAUCAUUUAUUAAAAAUUAUGCUAUGUAUCGUUAUGUAUCGUUUAAAAAUAUACUAUGAUCAAAAAUGCAUAUUGCAAGCGCUGAAGUUUUUACGCGUUUGCUGGAGUGUCCCGCGCGCGUCAAAUUUUGCGACUUACGCUCGAGCCAGCGUUUGCUGGCGCGCUAAAAUUUGUUGUCUACAUGAUGUAAACUCACUUUUUAUGCGCCGUGCGUUGCGCACGUGUUGGAGAUGCUGUGACACAGAUAGAAACUAUGCAAUUAAGAAAUUACAACCUUCCAAAUUAGAGCUGAGCAAUCCAUGGUUAUACCACGAAGUUACAAUAGUUAUCUCUAUAAACCAACCCACUAAAAAAUAAACAAAAGGGAAAAAGCAAUACGCCAGACCAUCCUACAAAAAUGAGACGGUCUCUUGAUAAUUAGUUAUCCAUAGUAUUAAAUAGAUCUUUUUUUUCUUUAGGAACUCUACAAAGGGCUAUAAAAAUUACAUUGCCAUGUUCAUUUUAGUUAUAUUAUUUUCAAUAAUUUUAAUAAAAAAGAAGAAAAUCCUUUUUUUUCUUGCUAAAAAUUGGCAUUGGCCGAGAGUGAAUCAAAUGAAUUUUCUCUUUAGUUGGCAUUUCUAUAUAGAACUUAAUAUAAUAAAACAAUCAAGUUACACAUAGAACACUUUUUUGUCGAUUAUAUUCAUCAAGAAAGCAAAACUGACCAACUUGUGUUGUAACAGAUCAGCUAAAACAAUAACUAACUCAGACUAGGCCCAUAUAUAUAUUGUUUAUUAUACUGUAUAUGUCGAUAUCAUCUGAAUGCGGAUUAAAGUUACUUCGAGAAAAUAAACGAAUAAUGGGUACGGGCAUACGGUACCUGUUGUGGCAGAAAUAAAAUCGUUGCAUGUGACUGAAGUAAUCGUCGGCUAUUGGAGGUGUGGGAAAAUUGCAGCGAAUCUGAUCUGCUGAAUAAUUAAAGCAUCAUUUUAUAGCAAAGUUGAUUUAGUAGUGAUCACGAUGUCCAACGACUUCAAGCUAACAGCGAUAUGCUCCACACAUAUAUAGUUUCUUUUGGGGAAGAAUAUACACACUAGUGAGGACGGGGCCUUUAGCCCCGGCCCGUAAGGGGCUUUAGUUCUGGUUCACCAAUCGGGACUAAAGGGCGGGACUAAAGGGCCAACCUUUAGUCCCGGCCCUGUAAGGUGCUUCACGUGGGCGCCUCGUAGCGCUUCAUGGGCAGACCCUUUAGUCCCGGUCCGUGUACGGACCGGGACUAAAGAAUUUCAGAUUUUUUUUUUUGAAUGAAAUUAGUUUUGGGUUUUAGGGUUUUAGGGUUUAGGUGUUCGGAAGAUUAACGUGAUGCCUCGUUUGGUGUUCGGUAAUUAGUUUUCAUACAAUUUAAAUAGAAAUAAUUAUGCAUAUAUAUAUAUAAGAUUUACUUAUCUUACAAGCGAGCAUAUAUAUACAAUUAUAUGGAGAUCUGAAUUAUCGGGACUAGAGCCCGUCUAUUCGAUUACAUGGACGAACAUCAGUAAUGGCCCCUAGCUACACUAAAUCGUCUAUAGCUCCGUCCUCAGAAAGGUCGCAAGCUCCUCUGCAACAGCAAUCGCGCGUUGCUCUGGUAGGACCUUCGUCCUCAUGGCCGUGUACUAUAUAAGAAGAGGAGAUGAAUAUGAAUAUCAAUCAUGACAACAAAGAAUGACGGGUAAAAAUAGAGGUGUGAAUGUUCAUUGCUUACGUCGAAUCUGUGAUCCUUGUGCUCAGAGGUAAACGUACGAAUGGUCUCGCAAACAUAGUAUCCGCAUAGAUGCGUUCCCCGUAGCUGCUGGUCGCACUUUCCGAGAAUAGAAUAUAUAUAAUCAAAAUAAUAAUCUAGCAUCAUAAAUGUAUUGAAAAUAGAAGUAUAUCAUACUACUACUUACCUGGGCCACUCUAAAGGUCAGCUUCUCAGGCUCGAUACCGGGAGUCACGCACUUGAACCGCUUCCAAACCCUGCCCGACAAGGAUAAUGAUUUGCUAAGUUUUUCAUUAAUUGAUAUAUCAGAAAAUCAUCGAAAGAGACCGAUAGAGCGCAAGAAUGAUUGAAAUUACCCUUGGAGCAUGUCCUGCAGGCUUUGGAACUGUUCCAAGGGUCUCGAUAAUGGGUCGAAGGCAUCGACUCUUCCCUUAUCAACUUGAGCAUAGUAUUCAAAGUAGGAGUACUUUUCCAAUUUGAGCAUUCAAUAAGCAAAACCAAAUCCUAAAAUAAAGUAGUAUUCAAAUUAGCAUGCAUUCAAUUAUAAGCAAAUACAUCAUCUCUUUUGUCCGUACAUCGUCGAAUAUUAUCACUAAUACUCCUCGAAUACUAUCAUACAUAUAGCAUCACUGAUACAUCUAGAAAGUAGCGCCCGACGGGUAUCGGCGCGGGCGGUGGACACCCAAAGAGAAGGAACCAUCACAGGAUCAUAGCUCCAGUGAGAUCCCCGAAGAACCUGCCAGGUAUGCUCGAACCUGCCCUCCAACGCAACCAUGUAGCGACGGACGUGCUCAUCCUCCUCGCUGACACGGUGACGUACCACCUCCGCGGUGUCCGGAAGCCUCGGCACCCUCACUGGCCCACGCGACCGCCACCAAACAAGGAUCGGGUCAACGACGGGCUGGCUCCUCACCAACCUACGCCCCCGGAAGGUAGCACCUCCCAAUACCAGCCGGGCGGAGCCCAGUCCCGGACAGGGCCCCUCUGAUCAAGCAGGUGUCCUCCGCCGAGUCGACGACGAGGAUGCGGGAUAGGCAUUGUAAAAUAAACUAAAAAAUAAACUAGUUCUAUUAAUUUUCUUGCUAAAAAUAAACUAUUAACACUUAAGCAUGUAUAAUAGCAAAAUUAAACUAUUAACACUUAAUCAUAUACAAUAGCAAAAUUAAGCAAUAAUCUAAGAAACACUAUUAACAUUUAGGCAUAUACACUAUACAAUAGCAAAAUUAAAUGAAAAAAAAAUAUUUCUUCUUCUUGUAACCCUAAACUAAUUUUUUCUCUUCUUCUAUUUCUCCUCUUCUUCUACUUCUCCUCUUCUUCUACUACUUCUCCUCUUCUCUUCUUCUACUUCUCCUCUCCUCCUCUUCUAAUUUUUUCUCUUCUUCUACUUCUCCUCUUCUUCUAUUUUUCCGCUUCUUCUCCUCUCCUCCUCUUCUUAUUCUCCUUUUUCUUCUUUUCUUCUCCUCAUCUUCUUAUUUUCCUUUUUCCUAAUUCUAAAUAUUACUAACCCUAAUAAUCUAGCACAAACCUAAUAACAAUAGGAAUUAAAUGACAAAAAAAAUCUGUUUCNNNNNNNNNNNNNNNNNNNNNNNNNNNNNNNNNNNNNNNNNNNNNNNNNNNNNNNNNNNNNNNNNNNNNNNNNNNNNNNNNNNNNNNNNNNNNNNNNNNNNNNNNNNCAUAUUUGAGAAUUUGACAAAACUAUGAUAAUGAAAAGUGUUUGACAUUGAAUAAAUAAUGCAAAACUAUUUUCUAUUUUCAAAAGUAAUUAUUUUGACUAUCCAAACUAUUAUCUAUUUUUCUAUUUUCAAUUAAAAAAUAUGUUUAUUAAAAUUCUUUUUGCAUAUUUGAGAAUCUGACAAAACUAUGAUAAUGAAAAGUGUUUGAAAUUGAAUAAAUAAUGCAAAACUAUUUUCUAUUUUCAAAAGUAAUUAUUUUGACUAUCCAAACUAUUAUCUAUUUUGUUAUUUUCAAUUAAAAACUAUGUUUAUUAAAAAUUCUUUUUACAUAUUUGAGAAUUUGACAAAACUAUGAUAAUGAAAAGUGUUUGAAAUUGAAUAAAUAAUGCAAAACUAUUUUCUAUUUUCAAAAGUAAUUAUUUUGACUAUCCAAAAUAUUAACUAUUUUGUUAUUUUCAAUUAAAAACUAUGUUUAUUAAAAUUCUUUUUGCAUAUUUGAAAAUUUGACAAAACUAUGAUAAUGAAAAGUGUUUGAAAUUGAAUAAAUAAUGCAAAACUAUUUUCUAUUUUUAAAAGUAGAAGCGACCCCCACAAUAAGAGACGACAUUCUUCUUCUCUCAUAUAUGGUGGACACUAGCUCAACCAUCGAUGAUGGUCGCUACUCCUACUUCCCCUAGUGCAUAACCAAUAUCUAGCACAAGGAGAAGAAGGAGAAACGACCCCCACAGCAACAGUCGACAUUCUUCUUCUCUCAUGUAUGGUGGACACUCCCUCACCUGAUUUUUCGACCGUCGAUGAUGGUCGCUACUCCUUCUUCCCCUAGUGCAUAACAAAUAUCUAGCACAAAGAGAAGAAGGAGAAGCAACCCCCACAACAACAGUCGGCAUUCUUCUUCUCUCAUGUAUGGUGGACACUCCCUCACCUGAAUUUUUGACCGUCGAUGAUGGUCGCUAUUCCUUAUUUCCCUAAUGCAUAACAAAUAUCUAGCACAAGGAGAAGAAGGAAAAGCGACCCCACAACAAAAGUGGUUCCGCGGCACGCCACGUGGUUCCGCUGCACGCCACGUGGGACUAAUGGUCUUUCUUUCCAGCACNNNNNNNNNNNNNNNNNNNNNNNNNNNNNNNNNNNNNNNNNNNNNNNNNNNNNNNNNNNNNNNNNNNNNNNNNNNNNNNNNNNNNNNNNNNNNNNNNNNNUUUGAAAAUAGAAAAUAGUUUUGCAUUAUUUAUUCAAUUUCAAACACUUUUCAUUAUCAUAGUUUUGUCAGAUUCUCAAAUAUGCAAAAAGAAUUUUAAUAAACAUAUUUUUUAAUUGAAAAUAGAAAAAUAGAUAAUAGUUUGGAUAGUCAAAAUAAUUACUUUUGAAAAUAGAAAAUAGUUUUGCAUUAUUUAUUCAAUGUCAAACACUUUUCAUUAUCAUAGUUUUGUCAAAUUCUCAAAUAUGCAAAAAGAAUUUUUAAUAAACAUAGUUUUUAAUUGAAAAUAACAAAAUAGAUAAUAGUUUGGAUAGUCAAAAUUAUUAAUUAUGAAAAUAGAAAAAAAUUGAAACUAUAUGAGAAUUUAUAGAGAAAAUUCAAUCUAAAUUCAAACUGAACUCACUUUGAAUUCAGGUUGAAUUUUCUCCAUAAUUUCGAAUAUAGUUUCAAUUUUCAGUGAGUUUAGGUCCGUAAGCCUGCUUUAGAGAGGAGCUCGAUGGAGAAGCUGCGACGGGGCUUAUAAACAAGUGUUAGUCCCCCUCGCUGGGCGAGGUGGGACUAAACUUAUCGUGCAACCCAGGAGGGGCUUUAGUCCCGGGUGGAGCCACGCCCCGGGACUAAAGCCCCUCGCCUGCCGCCUGCCGAGGAGGGGCUUUAGUCCCGAUGCGUGGCUCCACCCGGGACUAAAGGCCCCUGCUUCCCGCCUUCUGGUCUGCCCGAAAAGAGGCCUUUAGUCCCGGGUCGUGGCUCCACCCGGGACUAAAGGGGGUCUUUAGUCCCGGUUGGAGCCACGCACCGGGGCUAAAGAUCCACCUAUAUAAGCGGGACUUUGAAAAAUUCCCACCCAAAUCGUCCAUUUCUCUUCUUCUUCCUCUCGUUCUCUGCCCGGCGCGGCACAGCGACGAACUCGACGACGCCGUCACGCUGCCCACCGUNNNNNNNNNNNNNNNNNNNNNNNNNNNNNNNNNNNNNNNNNNNNNNNNNNNNNNNNNNNNNNNNNNNNNNNNNNNNNNNNNNNNNNNNNNNNNNNNNNNNGAAUUCAAAUUCUAUUCAUACUUCAAUUCGCUAUAACUUGCGUUGUAGUGCUGCAUUUCAAGAAAUUCUUUCUACAAAUAAAUUCUUAUGCCUUAUAUUAUUUGUCAAACAACAUUCAUGUUGUUCUCCCAAUAUUUUUUAUCAUAUCCCAUAGUGUAUGCAAGUCGAGCUUAUAUAGCGAUAGUUGAUCAUCCUUUGACUCUUUUGAGUUGACCCCUUUCACCUUUCCUUUACAACACACCUAGGACCUAUUUUUUUAUUAAACCUUAGUAUGUUGUUAUUUUGCACAAAGACAUGUUUUGUUCUUAUGUUCUUUUGGUUCUUCCUUUUUGGCAUGAAUGUUUAUUGAAUGCUAUUCGUUUACGAUAGAUUGCUUGGAGUGUGGCGAGUAGAAUUAUCAAGAUUUUGAGAGCGACUAUCUUCAUCAAGUAAUACCAGGCAAGUCAUUUGAUCAUGUAUCACCUAUGUUUUAUGCAUCGUAGUUCUACCAUCCUAUGCCCAAUUUGCAUGCUGACUAGGUACUUGGAAAUUAUGGUUACAUAUUGUAGUAUCAUGUGGUAGGCACCCAACAACCCCAUUACUUGGCCCGGGACGACAAAUUUCAUAUUGCUAUGCUUGAGUAGACGGGAUUCUGGUUGAGAGUUUAUCACGAGUGAUGCGAUAAUAAUUUAAUAACCAAGACCGGUUAAGUCAAGACUUUUCAAGAUCUCGUGAUGCAAUGCAACUCUGGGUGAAGGACGGUUGAUCGGCUCCCUGGAGAAACCAGUGGAUGACCCGGGAUGCUGGAGACGUGCCAUGACAUCUUGCGGAAAGCUUCACCCAGGCUCAAAGAGACGGACGGAUAUUUUCAAGACCCAAGGCUUACCUGCACAACCACAAGUCAUUAUGGGCUCUGUCUUGGUUGGACAACGCGGCGACUCUGGACAGGCGGUGCCAGCAGAUGUAGAAGAACGGUAGGAUUGGAUGGGCACCGACAGGGAUUCAGAGGGACCCGUUGAAAGACCAUGUUUUGAUCAUCCGGUCUUCAAACACCCUGAAGUGCGAGGACAUACAUGGAGGCGAUCAAAUCUUGUGGGGAACGUUUGCAAAACUCUCCAGAGUACUCAAACCUAAUCGAUUAGCCGUGUCCACGGUCAUGGACAACUUGAGCCAAAGGAACUGAAGUUAUCUGAAAUUCUCAACACCAUUAUAUAUAUUUGAUGUGGGUAAUAUUGUUAACUUGGGUAUGAGAAAUGGUUGGCGGAACCAUCUUAUUAAAAACAGCAGCGUAGUAAUAUUUUGCUUUUUAGCCCCUCUCUUGUUGUAGGAGAAAACUUUGCUUUCCGCUAAAAACUUACAACCCCACCUGCCAUAUAUGCAUAUAGUAUAGAUGAUAUUUUACCCCCCUCUCAUAUGUGACUUGCCGGCAUAUUCAANNNNNNNNNNNNNNNNNNNNNNNNNNNNNNNNNNNNNNNNNNNNNNNNNNNNNNNNNNNNNNNNNNNNNNNNNNNNNNNNNNNNNNNNNNNNNNNNNNNNGUGCCUUCAAGGCAGGCGUGCGGUACAGAGAUCUGUACCUGAAGUUCGGUCGAACAGGCGACAUCUCCAUGAGCAAGAUGAUGGAGAUAGCCGCACGCUAUGCAAAUGGCGAAGAAGAGGACGCAUAUGUAGCGGCAAGCAUAAGGCAGUCGCCGAUGGAGACGGGAACAACAAUCGGAAGCAGAAGCAGAAAGCUCCGUCCACUCCGCAGGCAGAGGCAGCAGCCGUUACCAAUGCCAAGUUCAAGGGUAAGGGGAAAGCUUAGUACACCCCUAAGAAGAGACAGUUCGGGAAUUCCAUCCUGGAUCAGCCAUGUCCAAUCCACACGAAGAUGGACGAAGAAGGCAACGCCAUAUUCCCGAAGCACACCACUCGGCAAUGUCACCUCCUGAUCCAAGGGUUCGGCGAAGGGCAGCCGAGUGAAAAGGACAACGAGCAGGAUGAUGAGGACAAGGAGGAUCCAUUCCCCCAAGUCCAUGCAACAUUGAUGAUUUUUGCUGACGUGGAAAGCAAGAGUCGAUUGAAGCUGGUGAACACGGAGGUGAACAUGGCAACCCCAACCAACCCCACGUUCCUCAAAUGGUCUCAGACUGCGAUCACCUUCGAUCAGUCGGAUCAUCCAGCACACGUGCCCACCCCAGGGAUGCAAGCUCUGGUCGUCAACCCGGUGGUGGAAGGAGUCCGACUGCACAAAGUCCUCAUGGACGGCGGCAGCGGCUUGAACAUCAUGUACGCCGACACUCUCGAGGGGAUGGGCAUUCCGAUUUCCAAACUUAGCGAGAGCAGCAUGCAGUUCCACGGAGUCAUCCUAGGACGAAAGGCCAAGUCACUCGGCCAGAUCGCGUUGGACGUCGUUUUCGGCUCCGACAAGAACUUCCACAAGGAAAAGCUGACAUUCGAGGUGGUGGACUUC
rnacentral:lncRNA from 1 species